ACUGCAGCAAAUUCGCGUUCGUGAUUCCAACAAUAUUACGAUAAGGCACAAUGCUUUUUAAUUUUUUUUUUGAAAUGUUGUGUUUGAUUAGCCGCGUCUUUAGUAAUAUUUUGAUUUUGAAAAAUUGAUCGAACCGUACGAUUAUUGCGAACUUCUUUGUAAAAAAUAUCAUUAUUUUUAUUUUAGUUAGUAUACACGACACACGUACAUAAUAAUGGCUUUGUGUCCUCUUACGUCCACACAAGUUUUGGAGUUCUUGCCUUUGAACACGUGGACCGAGGUUUAUUUGCAACCAAGUAAUUUUAAAAAUGUAUGUUUUGUUUCAACCUAUCAUAAAAUGGAAAAGCGAAAGAAAGACAUGCAAUCAAUUUCAUUGCAGAGUAGCUUAUUUGAUAAAGUUACACAUUUUGAAGGAUUAAAAAUAGUAGCUGUUGAAAUUGAAGGAAAAUGGUUCAGAGGGAAACUAAUUAGUUUCAAUGAAUUUCUAACUGACAAUACCAUAAUUCAACUAAUUGAUUAUGGGAAUGUUUAUGAAACCAAAUUAGAAAAUCUGUUUGUACUUCCAUAUUAUUUUAUGUAUGAACCAUUAGCUUUACCAGUCACAUUCAAAGAUUUUAUUCCAAAGAAAACAACAUUUUCUAUAAAACCCCUUCUGUCAGAGAGUAAUCUACACGAAGGUGCUGUUCUUGUUGGUGUUAACUGUAAUGAUACAAAGUUGGAAAAUUGUGUUAAAGAAAAACAGUUAUUAGAAUCAAAAAAAGACAUUAACUCUGCUAAUGAUUCGAAAAUUAUAAGUGUAAAAAAUAAUAUAACCAAUGGUCAUGAUAAUAACGAAUCAAGAACUUUCAGGAGAGGUAGCUUCAUUAGCGAAGAAAAACUGAACAAUGUGCCAUUAAAAAAUGAGGAUUAUUGCAUGUUGACUUAUUUUGAAGAUUUUACUUGUUUGUAUGUUGGAAAAGCUAUAAAAUGUAACAAUGGCAGUUACACUUUUGUUGAUUAUGAUACUGUACGAUACACUAAUGAGAGUACAGAUAAAGUACUAAAGUAUAAUCCAGUUGUGGGAGACAUGGUCAAAGUUUUUUCAUCUGAAAGUGAUGGUUUAUAUUAUAGAGCAAAAAUAUUAAAAAAUAAUAAAGGUUGUUAUGAUGUCUUCUACAUUGAUUUUGGAAACAUUGAAACAGUUCCAUCAAAUGUUAUUUAUGAAUUGGCUGAUGAAUUGAAGAAGCCUGGAAUGGCUGUUAAAAUAGGACUCAGUGAUUUAAAAGAUAUUCAAACAACUAAACAAAUUAAAGAUAUGUUUGAAACAUUUUGUUACGUUGGAAAGCCAUUUAUGAUUGAGUUCAAUGAAAACUAUAAAAAUUGUCUAGAAAAUGUGAAAUUAAAAGAUGUAGAAAGUGGAUCAUAUAUUAAUUCUAAAUAUUUAAUGAAACAUACAGCAACACAAACUGAAGAAUCUAUUCAAAUACCACAAAACAUUACUGAAAACGAGACAGUGCUAACAAACACACCAGAACUAGAAGUCAUAUCAAAUAUUGAAUUGAGAACUGGCGAUACCGUUUUUUGUACUCAUUCUGAAGAUUUUAACCUUAACAUAUGUUCUAAAAAUAAUACUACACCAGGCAAUAGUAGUAUGAUAAUAGAUUCUAAAAUGACAAAUGGUUCAAACAGGGUUUCAAAUAACUGGCUAAGUGGUGAUCACGUUGAAUUUCUAUAUGGAAAUAAUGUCAAUAAUAUUUUUGUAAGAAAUAUAAAAUUAUAUGAAGAAUUUAAAACUGUGUUGGACCAACUAAAAGAAGAAAACUUUGAACAUUACACACCAAUAGUCGCAAAGACUCGUGAAUAUGUGGCAGUAUAUUCUGAGAUUUAUAGAGGGAUUUAUAGAGGUAGAGUCUUGAAGCCAGAUUCUGACAAUACAAAUAUGGUCAAAUGUACUUUAAUUGAUUUUGGUAAAGUUGAUAUGAUUCCAUCUAAAAAUGUAUUUGCAUUGCCUAACUAUGUUUUAUUAAACAAAAUACCAACAAUGGUUCGUAGAGUUUCACUUAUUGGUGUACACAAGACCUCAAAUAUUAAUACGAUAAUCCAAUAUCUAUCUUCAUUGAACGGAAAAACAUAUGUUAUGGAAUACGAUAUAAAUCCUAGACAAUGGAAUAGACAAGAAGUUGUAUUAAAAGAAUUACAAAGCAGUGUGUCUCUUAAUGAUGAAAUCCAAAAGUUACAUUAAAAUGAAUCAUCUCUUAGGGGAAAUUUUCUUCAGCACAGAAGAUUGAAUAGAAAAACCUAUCAGUAAUAAUGUAUAUAUUAUAAUGUCUAUGAUGGUCAUGUAGAUACUAAAUACUAAUGUGUAUUGCUUACUAUUACAUUAAGAAAUCUGUAUUUAUAUAUUUUAUUAAAAUUAUAUUUAGUAGGUAUUAACGGUUAUUAUGAAAAAAAUCGUUAUUAAUAAUACUUAAAUUAUUGUAAUAAACCAGGUAUUUUGUCUAUUAUUUUAAUAACAAGCUUUGUGCAUUACUAUUAUUAUAAGUAACAAAUAAUGUGUUGGAUUUGAAUUUAAUAAUAAAUCAUAGCAUAUGAAAAAAAAAUUCUGAGCGGAGAUGGUGUGUCAUCCCAGCAUUCAUGUAUAAAUAUUCAAAUUUAAUCAUUAGAAACCACCAAGAAUAACAUAUCGUGACAUUUUUUAAAUCAAACGCUCUUAAAAAAAUUAAUAAUUCUGUCCGGCAAACUUUUUUAUUUUAUGAAGGCAGAAAAUUUGUUAGGUAUCUUGUAUUAAAAUGUCUAAUGUUAGCUUUACAAUUACAUUUUUUAUUAAUUUCUGACUGAUUAUGAAGUUCGCCAAAAUUUUAACUUCAACUGCAUAUAAAAAAAGCUGGUAAGUGUGUGUCGAUCUGCUGUACAGUAGGUUACAAGUCACUAUAAUCGAUGGUGUUAAAUUUGAUUAUACGAUUAUAGUGAUUAUACGAAAAAUAAUUCUAAGCGGAGACGGUUUGUCUGCCAGUAGCCUAGGAUAUUUUAUAUUAUACUACUAGCUUAUAAUACUAGCUGUUCUAGCCAACGAUUUGUAUUUUUAAUAAAUAUAUUUGUAGUAAACGUAAUGCCAUAAUUGUGUUAUGUUUUAACCGAAACCAAUUUAAGAAAAAAUCAAUUUUGUUAUAUUAUUUUGUUAUUUUAUUAUAUUGUAACCCUAAAAAAAAUAACCGUAGAUGCACGACAUUUUCACAAA